rnacentral:rRNA from 1 species
GAUGAACGCUAGCGGGAGGCCUAAUACAUGCAAGUCGAGCGGUAGAGUGACUUCGGUUGCUUGAGAGCGGCGAACGGGUGAGUAACGCGUACACAAUCUACCUUUAAGAGGGGAAUAGCCCUGGGAAACUGGGAUUAAUGCCCCAUGGCAUCACGAGACGGCAUCGUUUUGUGAUUAAAGCUGAGGUGCUUAGAGAUGAGUGUGCGUCUGAUUAGCUAGUUGGUGCGGUAACGGCGCACCAAGGCGACGAUCAGUAGGGGGCGUGAGAGCGUGGACCCCCACACGGGUACUGAGACACGGACCCGACUCCUACGGGAGGCAGCAGUAAGGAAUCUUCGGCAAUGGGCGCAAGCCUGACCGAGCAACGCCGCGUG